rnacentral:lncRNA from 1 species
CAGAAUAGAAUAAAUAGAACUUCUAGGUAUAGUUACCUCUAUCGUGAGUUUCGACAAGAUGGAGGUUAUGAAAAACUCAUCAAAUCCAGCAUCUGUCAUAUGCAAGAUUCAAUUAACUCGAGUUUAAAUUGUGAAGCUCAUGGAAACUUCUUUCCAUCAAUCACCUUGUUGUGGCCACAGACUUAAAGACUCAGCUUUUCAAAUUUCAUAGGACUACUUCUUAUCUACUAAUUGAUA